UUUAUUAAUGUCUUUGUAUAGUUUUAAUCUCCAUUAUUUUAAAUAUGUUGUUAACCAUCUUCAGCCCCUUUACUAGGAGAAAGGCAUGAUAUAAAAUUAAGAAGGAGAAGAAGGUGAAAGGUAAGGUAAGGUUCUGGAAAUAUUAUUUCAAAGUCAUAAAAGGCUUGGAGCCUUGAGGGAACAAUUCUAUAUACCUAUCCCAAGUAUUAAGGUCUGCCAAGGAGCUCCUUCAGUGUGUUCCCUUAUUGGAACAGAAUGUGUUGAAUCACAGGCCAGGGCCUUUUCUUCUCUGGCACCCUGGUUGUAAUACCCCUACCUCUUAGAAUUCUAUCUGGCAUUGGUGUGGCAUUGGUGCGGCCAUUUUGAUGCCGUGUUCAAACUUGGCUCUUCAGAACAGCUUUUGGAUUCAGAAUCCUGGUCUGGUUUUGGUUUAUAUUUUGUUUAUGUUGAAUUGUUUUAAUCUGUCUUCAAUCCUCUAAGCAUUGCUUUUAAGUUGUUCUUAUUGACUGUACCUAAGGUUGCAUCCCCACAAUAAUGAGAUGAUGAAGUAGGACUUUGUGGGGGAUCACUGCAUUAAUAUUCACUGUAAACUUUUGUUUAAUAUACAUGCCCACCAGAUUGAGAAUUCGCACAGCACUGUGUAAAAUAUGAGAUAAAAAUGUCCAGAACAGAAGGCAACAAGAAUCAGAAGAACUGGAAAACUGCCGCCUCUAAGCAGCUACUCAGAUUCAAGUGUUUCAGUACCUGGGAGAGAUCUCCAGAGACUGCAGAUGUGGGCCCAAAGUUGACCUGUAAGCUGCUAUAGGAGCCUUUCUUGCUGAAGAACUAGGUACCUCAUCUGAUUGCUACAAGCCUGUAGCCUGUGGAACAAAACACACGAUCCUUCCAUCUACCUCAUAGCUUCAACACCCACAGCAGAGCACAAGGCAGGAACAUGAGCCAAAAACUGAACCACGUGAUAUUCUGCUUCCUUUUAAUGAUGCCACACCCACAUAACCAUAAAAAUAAGUAAAAUGUUACAGUUAUACUGGAAAAGAAGCAAAGUUAUCCCUUAUUAAAUUACAACUACAAGGUGAUGCAAUUAUACUUUCACUACUGGAGAAAGGAAUUAAUUAUAAAUUAAUUAUAAAUAAAUUAUAAAUAACAAUUUUUUCCAA